CCAUGGGUGCCGCCCAAGACUCUGACAUCACUGGACCUCCUCCCUUGGGCUGCUAGGGACCAGAUGCCCCACUGGGGGAGGCCUCAGCCCGCCCAGGCCCUGCCAUGGACGGCAGGCUCUUCUGCUGGGCCAUCUUUGGGCUCCUGGGAGUAGGCCACAUGGAACCUGGAGUCAGCCAAAGCCCUCGCCACUACAUCACACGGCCAGGACAGAACGUGACUUUGAGGUGUGACCCUAUUCCUGGUCAUCAGUACAUCUUUUGGUACCGACAGACCCUGGGAAAAGGGGUUGAGUUUCUGAUGUCCAUCUAUAACAAAGAGCCUUCAGAGAAGGCCGACUUUUUAAAGGAUCGGUUCUCAGCUGAGAUGCCUGAUGACACGUACCUGACUCUGAAGAUCCAGCCUGCACAGCGGGGAGACUCGGCCCUGUUCCUCUGUGCCAGCAGCUCAGCCACAGCCAUGCACAGACACCUCCUGCCCUUCCACAAACUCUACAGCUCCUCUGCUCUCCCCAGGCUCUCAGCAGCGCCUGCCCCGCCCAAGGAGGCUGGCGGAUGGAUCCAAGCCCACAAGAAGGUCAUGAUGCAGGACAGACUGGGCAAGAGCAACUGCCCAUGGGGCCACCUGUGGCAGCAACUGGUGUGA